GCCGGGCGCAGGGCGGGGAGCAGCGGGAGCUGCCGGAGGCCAGGGGCCAGAGGAGCUUCGGAGCCCGACGCGGGGUGGGCCGGUCCCGACCACUACUCUCCCCGGAAGUGAAAGGGCAGGAGCGCGUGAGAACCGGAAAGCCCAGAUGGAUGCGCGGAGUCCGUAAGCCGAAAACCCGAAUCUACCAAGGUUUGUUUACCCAGGACCGAGAACGUAAAGAAGUUGAGCACUUAACUGGUGGACGUAGGUUCUGGGGUUUUUUUGGUUUGUUUGUGUUUUUUUGUUUUGUUUUGUUUUUGCCUCUGUCUGGUGAAACAAAAACCAAAGUGGAUGGAUGUUUUUAAUAUUUAGUGAUCUUUAUUUAAAACCGAAAGUUGAUUAUUUAAUAUUUUAUUAUGGGGAUUGGGAGAAAACGGAACAAAGGGCAUUUAAAAAGCAAAAUACUACUCUACCAAGAAUUUGAGAAAGAAAGUAUUUUUCGACAAUCGGAUACAUCGAGUUACUUUGUAGGGUAGAGCAGUGGGUGUCAAGAUUCACCCCCCUCUCCCACGUUCUCAUUUACCCCGCUUGCCAAGUAAGAGCAGGGAAACUGCCUGUCGCAGAGCCUGUUUGGAGAUUCAGGAUUCUUUUGAAGAAAGGGGACGCUUAGGGCCGCCCGCCGCGCGGGGCGGUUUCCGGGGAGCUGUCCUGGGCCUCUUCUCCUGAACUCGCUCUGCAUGGUCUCGCCUCGGCCCUCCAGAGCGGCCACCUGCCCCCAGACCACCCCUGUCUGGGCGCCGCAGAAACCUCGAUCUCCGCGUCCCGGACGGAGCCGCGCGCCUUCUCUCCCGGCCUCGGCGUGAACCCGCUCAGCCACCGCCACGCUGCACCAUUGCUCAACCUGAAACCUGGUCAACGGCCCCUCAUCCCCCACUCCGUCUUCCGCAGUCAUCAAGGCCCGGGGUUCGAUUUACGUCCACCCCAGGGCCGACCACCUGCGCCUCCCACCCGGGUCACUGCAGUUACCUUCUCGCGGGUCUCGCCGCCUCCGGUUUACCCUUCCCCCAUCUCGACAUUGCAACGUGAUAGAGGCUAUAUUUUAAUGUAAAUCUCAUCGUGCUGUUCCCGUUUAAAAUCUUUUAAUGGCUUCCUGCUUGUCCUCAGGAUAAAGUCUUAUCUCCUUAAAUUCGCUUCAUAAAGUCCUCCUAAUCCCGUUUGCGCCAAGUCUCCAGCAGAGGCUUUUACCCGGGGCCAGUCCUCCCACCCAUCUUUCCUGGUGUUCCAACAACCGGGGGUUGCUUUCAGUUCUCUAAACGUGCCGAGUCCUCUCCAGUUUCUGAAGCCUUCCCCUGGCCCCUCCUGGCCUUUAGAGGUGGCUUCCUGUCAUCCCCUUCCCUCCCCCUCGAAGGCGAGGGCAGGGAGCCCCCAGAGCCCCCCACUACAGCCCACCCUGUAGUGGCCUCUUGUUGUAUGUGUUGCAUUCCGUCGUGCUCAUCAGUGUUCCCAGUCUGUCCUGGCAAUACUGGUCGGAGCCCAGUACACCUCUAACACACAGUGAUGGGAGCAGUAAUUCCUUAGUUAUCUGCUGAUAGGUUCCUUUUAUAUUGCUGCAUUUUUUAGUUUUGAGUUCCUCCUUUGUUACAAGUUUCUCUAUAAGAAUAAAUAAAAUAAAACAAGAUAUGGUGAUUUUUACUUAAACCAAUCUGCUUUUUUUUUUGUCGCAGUCAACUAUACAUCUCUUAGCAGAAAUAGUGUGUUGGUUUGUGAAGCGAAAUUCUGGGAACAGUGCCUUGCUAUUCCAUGGCAUUGGGCAAAAUGGUUCAUUUUAAGCUUAGAUUUUGAAACUUUAAAACUCAGAUGAAAGUAAUGCCCCAAUAAUGCUGGAUGGAGGGGGUGGAAGGGAAGAAUAUUAAGCAGAGAAUUCUAGUUCCUUAUUUAUUAUUAUUAAUAUUUAGGUUAGCAACUAUCAAUAUGUUCAGAAAUUGCUCUGGUAUUGGGGGUUGUGGUUUGUUUUUUUGUUUUUUUUUUAAUCUUGGUACUCUUAAUAUUUUUUUUUGUUUACAUGAGAUGUCAGUGUAACAAAUUGAAAUCCUCAUUUUCCUUGUGCUCACUUACAGCUAGCAUUGCCAAUAUAUAUAUAUUUAGAUCUAUGGUAUUUCUAAAUAACGCCCUGCUGCACAACUUUCCAAUAACAUUAAACAAGAAUUCUUUGUUGAGAGGUGUAAUACUUAGAGGGAAGGAUAGGGAAAGAAAUCUUAACUACUGCAAAUUGUUUCCCAUCAGCCUUAUUCUGAGGGAGAUCCUUGUUGGUUUCCUCAUUACUGUACAACUAGUCUGUUGACUGUUACAUUUUGAUGGAAGGGAGUAGAAUUUAGUAAAAAAAAAAAAAAUUUAAAAGAAGGGAGUUUGUUUCUUUA